AUGCUACCUGGUUGAUC
rnacentral:rRNA from 2 species